CCUACGGGGGGCAGCAGUGGGGAAUAUUGGGCAAUGGGCGCAAGCCUGACCCAGCAACGCCGCGUGAAGGAAGAAGGCUCUCGGGUUGUAAACUUCCUUUUACAGGGAAGUGUAGAAGACGGUACCUGUCGAAUAAGCCACGGAUAACUACGUGCCAGCAGCCGCGGUAAUACGGAGGUGGCAAGCGUUGUCCGGAGUUAGUGGGUGUAAAGGGAGCGUAGACGGUUCUGUAAGUCUGAAGUGAAAGCCCGUGGCUUAACCGCGGAACGGCUUUGGAAACUGUGGAACUGGAGUGCUGGAGAGGCAAGCGGAAUUCGUAGUGUAGCGGUGAAAUGCGUAGAUAUUAGGAAGAACACCAGUGGCGAAGGCAGCUUGCUGAACAGUAACUGACGUUGAGGCUCGAAAGCGUGGGGAGCAAACAGGAUUAGAUACCCGAGUAGUC
rnacentral:rRNA from 1 species